UCGCUUUACCUGCACUCACCUACUUGUGUGUUUGUUUGUGUAUGCACAUUGACUGGCGACGCGUGCAUUGUCUGACCAAUGCCAACAGCAACAACACCAAAAACAUACACACAAAUAUUUCCAUUAUCGCUCGCCUUGGCUUUUGAACCGCUACGCGCUGUCGCCAUUGUGACGUCGCGUCACUGCUCUUUCGAAAGUUAUUUGCUGAGCGCUUUUACUUAUACUUGCGGUUCACAGCACACGAGUGCUUUCCAUUCGCAGUGUCGGUUGGUCGCUGGCAGCCAUUUGCUGUUUGCCUGUUAAAUAAAAUUUAUAAUUUAAUUUAUUUAAAAAAUUAUUUCAAAAGUAAACAUUCGACGGUGAAGAUUCCAUCCGCCUGCAAAAACAGCAGACAGACGCAGACAUCGUGUGGACGCUGCAUGUUGGUGGCAGUAGGUUGUUGUUGGUUGCCGUAUGAGGUGAUGAGGAGCUGAUGCCAAGUGCUGCAUUAAUUUUAAAAUUUUUGUCUGACACUGUCAGCGGUGUUUACACUCAUUUUCAAGUCGCCAAGCCAAGGCAGCACAGACGGAGUUAGAGUUUCAGUCUGGCAGUAGUAUUUGCAUUUGUCUUCUUGCUUGCCUUGCCGUCUCUCUGUCUGCAAAGCCGAAAAUUCGUCAAGUAAAUUUUAUGAAAAGCCAACACAAAAUGGCAUAGGCUGUGCACGAGUAGCUGCUAGGAAUUGUGUGAGUGUAACAGACGAGGCUGGAUAAUUUCUGAAAGUAACAAAAAGAAAUUAAACUGGCAUGCAACUCAUUGGAAGCAAUAGUUAAAAUACCAACAAUGGAAGGAAAAAUUAUUUACGACGAGCUGAAGUUGGGAAGCGGAGUGGAAUAGACAAUAGUAACACACUCGAGUAGAUAAUUUCUGAAAGCCAAGAAAAAUCAUCUUGAAAUGAAACUCAUUGGAAGCAAAGGAUUGAAUAACAAAAAUGAAAGGAAGAACUAUUUAUGAGCGAUCUAAAAUCAGAAAGCGGAGAGGAAGAGGAGGAAGAACGGCGUGGUUUAAUUUUUAAAGGUUGCGGGCUUAUAGCUCGACUUCCAGCAAAACUACGCGCCUUAUAGAAAAAAGUUAUGUGUCAACAUUAUUGUUAAUGAGAAGAUCUACAACUUUGGUAUGAACAUCUUUUAAGGAUAACAUCACAAUUUACAUACAUAUGUGCAAAAUGCAAAUAAUCCAGCUUUUGGGUGUUUUUAUGGCGCGAAUUUCAUACUUUCAGAUAGUUGAAAGUGAAGGCAAUGAUGCUGCAGUAUUUCUUCUACGACAGUCGGGUCUAAGUAAGCGGAACAAACAACCAAGGAGUAACAACUCGGCAGCUUGCUUCGAACUACUUCAGGGUGCUUCGAACGACUUCAGCAUGCCUCGAAUUACAUCAGCAAGUUUUCUGAUGUUACACAGCAGCAACUAUUUCUGCUUAUUCAAAGAAUACAAAUAAGUACAUAAGUAUAUAAGUAUAUAGCACCGCUUCCAUGACAGUCGGCGCUACGUAAUCGGCAGGGACCCGGAUUUUUAUCAUUUUUGUCCAACCAAUGAUUGUCAUCUCAGCAGCAUGCCUCCAAAUCACUUCAACGAUGUUUCGAUUACUGCUACAGGUACAAGCUUUUACUUCAAAGCGCUGCACUGGUGUACUGCAAACCGAAAAACUUACAAAAAGUGAUAUUUUUAGACUGCUAUUUCUUACUUUUCAAACAUUAUUAACAUAUAAUUACAAUAAAUUCUCAAUAAAAAUAAAAAUAUAUUAAU